rnacentral:rRNA from 1 species
GAUGAACGCUGGCGGCGUGCUUAACACAUGCAAGUCGAACGAUGAAGCCCAGCUUGCUGGGUGGAUUAGUGGCGAACGGGUGAGUAACACGUGAGUAACCUGCCCUUAACUCUGGGAUAAGCCUGGGAAACUGGGUCUAAUACCGGAUAGGAGCGUCCACCGCAUGGUGGGUGUUUGAAAGAUUUAUCGGUUUUGGAUGGACUCGCGGCCUAUCAGCUUGUUGGUGGGGUAAUGGCUCACCAAGGCGACGACGGGUAGCCGGCCUGAGAGGGUGACCGGCCACACUGGGACUGAGACACGGCCCAGACUCCUACGGGAGGCAGCAGUGGGGAAUAUUGCACAAUGGGCGCAAGCCUGAUGCAGCGACGCCGCGUGAGGGAUGACGGCCUUCGGGUUGUAAACCUCUUUCAGUAGGGAAGAAGCGAAAGUGACGGUACCUGCAGAAGAAGCACCGGCUAACUACGUG